UCCACAGAUUCUACAGCAUGAGAGAGAGAGAGAGAGAGAGAGAGAGAGAGAGAGAGAGAGGAAAAAAAAAAAGGGGUUAAAAAGGUCCUUUCAUGGCCAGGGACACUCAUUAUUUGGAUAGGAGUUUACCAGAAUAGUAUAAUAUUUUGAACACUGUCCUUGUUAUUCUGCUUUGUAAAGGAAUAAGACCAAAGAAAAGGGUAGUCCUACACCCAGUCUCAAUUCCCACAUAAAUCUCUUCUGUCAGAGAUAAAACAGGGACCCUUCUACUGCUCUCUGGGCAGAUCCCCAAUACCAUGAUCAUCUUGGAGCUUCCCCUCAUAAAUCAUUAUGCAACACUCACCUUCAAAAGCACCCCAAAUGCGUGCGCGACAGCUGUUUGUCGCGCGUGUGCAGGGCCGGCUCAUCAAGAAUACUUUCGGGUGUGUGUGUUUCGAGGUGCGCGGAGCAUUGCUCUCUCAUCAUUGGUUUUUGGAAAGGAGAGGUGAGUCAUGCAUCUUUCUACUGUAGGGAGCAUCUUCCUCUAUUUCAGAAGGAGCCACUGCUGUAAUUAACUUGGGCACUUCCUUGGGGAUUUGGUAUUUCCCUUUCUAAGACCAUGUGGUUACCAUGCAAUAUAUAUAUAUACAUAUAUAUAUAUACACCAGCCUAGCUCUCUCUCUCUCUCUAUAUAUAUAUAUAUAUAUAUGUAUGUAUGUAUGUAUGUAUAGUAGCUAUUCUUAAUGUGAUUAUGGUAUAAAUGUGGGAACAACUUGGUAAGUGAGAACUGUGCUAAUUAGGGUAGCACCUUAAUUACAUUGCUUAGAAUAUAAACAAAUUCAUUAAGAAAUGGUCUAUGCUGUUGCAUUUUUCUCUUUGAGUACUGUAGAUGAAUUUUCUAUUACACAGGUAAAAUUAAACA